UCCUGACGGUAGUCGUAUGCUCGUCUCCGAGACUAAGCCAUGCAAGUCCAAGUACACGUCCUUGAACGACGGAAACUGCGAACGGCUCAUUAAAUCAGUUGCGAUCUACUCGGCGUUCCGCGCCGCCGGAUAACCGUAGUAAUUCUAGGGCUAAUACGUGCGAAGCGCCCGAAGCCGCGAGGCGACGGGCGUUCUCGCCGGAUGUAGGAACCGACCCGGGGACCGCCGGGGCAACCCGGCGCCCCCGAGACGGGGCGAACCACGGUGAAAUGACGGAUCGUCGGCCCCGUGCCGGCGACUCGCCGAAUGAGUUUCUGACCUAUCAACUCGAGACGGCGGGGUAGAGGCCCGCCGCGGUAACGACGGGUAACGGGGAAUCAGGGUUCGAUUCCGGAGAGGGAGCCCGAGAAACGGCUACCACUUCCAAGGAAGGCAGCAGGCGCGCAACUUACCCUAAUCCUCGUAUUCGAGGAGGUAGUGACAAGAAAUACCGAUGCGGG
rnacentral:rRNA from 1 species